rnacentral:rRNA from 1 species
UACCGCACCCCCGGAGUGGGUCGGGGACGUUUUUUUUUUUUUUUUUUUUUUAGGGCCUAAAGCAUCCGGUAGCCGGGUCUACAAGUCUUCCGUUAAAUCCAGGCUGCUUAACAGAUGGGCUGCGGAAGAUACUAUGGAGCUAGGGAGGCGGGGAGAGGGCAAGCGGUACUCGAUGGGUAGGGGGUAAAAUCCGUUGAUCCAUU